GCCGAAGUGGCGGAACUGGCAGACGCGCUGGACUCAAAAUCCAGUGGGACUCACGUCCCGUGUGGGUUCGACUCCCACCUUCGGCA
rnacentral:tRNA from 1 species